GUUCGAUAAAUACAAAGACACAAACCAUUAUGCAAUUUUUGGCACCGUUCAGCCCUAUCCUUUCUAUUUAUUAAUUUAGUUUAGUUAAACCUACUAUUAACUAGAAUGAUUUUUUUUUUUGUCAAUAGAGACCAAUAUGUUUGUAGUACCUUACUCUUAGCACGUCGGUUGGAGUCUGUGGUCUCUUUGACUUCCUUUCACGGUCCAAGGGCAUGCAUUUGUAAACCUUGCCCUGAUUAAAUGUGAUUUAAUGAAUAAUUUAACGCCAUUGUCAGAGAGUGUUCCUCAUGGAGCCCAUUGCUCUUGGGGUUAUUGCUUUAUAUUUAACAAGCCCCCUCUUGCUUGAAACAGCAUUUUACUCACAAAUUGCUGAGUGCUUUAACCUCCAUGUUCAGUAAGUUGGUUUUCUUAUAGCUUUGCACAAAAGCUUUACAUGUCUUACUCAUCUUUUUGCCAACCACAGACGUAGGCAAGCUUCUGACACCCGCCUAAUCGCAUUUUCUUUGUAGAUGCAUUCGUGACCAGUGACCGCUCACAUUUCCUCUACAGUACGCAGCAUAUUUAGGGUCCCAUAUGCCCCCCUAUUGUUCACGUACACUGUAAAGAAGAAAAGAAAUAAGUGGGUCAUUGGCUGAAAGAGGGAUUUCCUCUGUAGGCCCUGCACUGUCCCGCUGAUAGAGCAGGACUGUCCCGGGCCAGGGAGGACACCGGUCGCUGGUUCCCACACUCCCGGCUCUUCACUUUGAGUCACUUUGUCUUCACAAGUGGAUAUCCUGACUCAAGUAGAGGAAUUUCUUAUUGGUAUUGUUUAUCUGCUUGAAUUCAGACUUUAUCAGAUUAAACAAAGAACAAAUAUAUUAGGAGAUGUGAAAUAUAACAAAUUAUCUUUAUUUCCUUGGAACCUUUAAAUUUGACCACAAAUUAUAUAGCUUGAGUUCACACUUAAUUUCACUACCUAAAGUUGUAUGGUAUUUCAAGACGCACUAAUGCCCCAAUAAUAGAGCAUUAUCUUUUAACAGAUGGAUUAGCUUCAAUAUAAUGUCUUCUAAUCCAGGGGUCCCCAACCUUUUUUGCGCCACGGACCGGUUUUAUGUCGGAGAAUAUUUCGCAAACAGGAGGGGGUUGGGGUAGGGCAGUUUAUGGGAGCAGGCACUGUGCUCGGCCUGGUUAAAUCCCGACUAAAUCCUGUUUUAGUCCUGCUUUGGACCCUGUUUUUAGACCCAGAUUUAGACCUGGUUUAUACCUGAUUUAGAUCUGGUUUAGGCCUGGUUUAGAUCUGGUUUAGUCCUGGUUUAGAGGCGCAACCCGUGCGACAAACGGGAGGGGGGCACGUUCUGCGCGACGUAUGGGGCGACCCAUCACCCUGGGGUUGGGGACCCUUGUUCUAAUCUACUUGCUGCUACUUGAUGCUUAACUUUUCUCUCUUUCUGGAUUCAAGGCCCAAUCAUGAAAAAUCUUAAUCCUGCCAUUUCAUGCAAGACGUGGUCACUAAUAUAGUAUUCUUAGAGAUUUUUGUUUUACCACAACUAAAAAGAUUUUUUUUAAGACUUUGAAGUUGAAUUUGAUGUUUACGAUAUCUAAGCUAUAACUGUAAAAAGAUUCAACCUUGAUCCACAUGCUAACACAAACAUGAUUUAAUGUAGUAGGCCCUUUGUCUAAGAAAGCAUUUAAAUAUUGGCCUAGUGUUGUUGUCACAAUAUUCAAAACAGUGGUUAGCCUAGACAUUUCUUACCAAAGUCCCUCCCGACAACAGUAACUAACAACACAGGAGUAUUAAGUUUGUAGACGUGGGCUUAGAGAUUUGUCAGUUUACAGUAAGUGCUAAGCUCAUGUCACUUUUAUCAGAUAUGCUCCUGUCUCUUGUCAGGCUUGAUCUAGUGUGAGCUUGGUUUAUUUGAGCCUGACUUGCACAUGUCUGAGAGGUCUUGUGUCAGAAAAAUAAACAGCGGUGCAUGCCUGACGUGACGGAGAUAACGCUGUCUUCAACACAACAUCCCAUCUGCAGCAUGCAAAUGUUUUCCCAGGUCAACCAGUGAAAAUAACACAGAAUAAGACUGGUACUAUUUUAGUCAUGGAAAAAGGGGUCUCUUUGCCAGUGUUAAAAUGCUUCGUUUAUUAUAGCUCAAAACUCUACAACAAUGCAAUAUUGAUAACUUCUUUUGCUCUGGCUUCUGUGGCAAGACUUUCAGAUGUUACUAUUUUAGCAAUGGAAGAAUGGGUUUCUUUGCCAGAGUCUUGAAGUGCUUAAGUUUAUUGUGGCAUAUAACUGCAACAAUCAUAUUUUGGUCACUUUUUAAUGGAUUUCAGGAUUAACUUUCUGAACAUAAAUAGGAUGGACUUUUAAUAUAUGCCAUUUACAAAAACAUCCUCUGUCUCUUCUCCAAACCACAUGCCUUUAUUGAAGAUUGUGGAGUUGUACAGCCCAACUUUUUUUGCUCACUUGCUUCUGUGGCAGGACUUAAAUUUGACCGUUACUGUUUUUGCAUGCCAGUGAUUUUGAAAAAGACCAAUGUGGCCAGUCACGAUGUUGUCAAUACUUCUUUCUGAAUGAGUAAUAGCUGUAUUUUUGAAAUGAUUACUGGUAGCUCUAUAACCUCAUUUGUAUUUAGUAACUGACAGUUCUUGUAUCAGAUUUUUUUCAUGGCAGAAGUAAUUAUUUUUGCUCUGUGCUUGUCAUUUGCACAGUACUGAACUAUUUCAAGAAAAAUCUUUCUGUCAUACACUAUGAUUAGAUGUGCAAUGUGGUUCUAUUCAAAGUUCACAUUUUAAGUUCACAUUUUAAAGACGCCAAGGAACUUUAAUAUUUGAGAGAAGAGUGAAAUAUGAACCACGAACUAAUACAAUAAUCCCAUGUUUGUUGAAACCUAAACUACAGGUGUAGCAUGUUUUUAUAUAAAGACAGGAUAUUUUGUUAUUUGCAGAGUAAAUUGUCUAAUUGCUACUAUUCAAAUUACAGUUUUGAUUCAGUUGUGGUAAAUCUUGAAACCUUUGUUCAUUAUUCUCACCUUUACUACAUUAGUUAUGACUUGAUUGUUACUAUACACAAUAGACUGAAAAUGUCCCUACAUCCCCCUUUCUAUAAACACUAAUUCCCGAGAACUGUCAAAUUCCUGGUGACUUCCCUGUAGAUCAUAGCACUGUUGUAAAUAGUCCUCACUCACUCUCUUUUGUGUUUAUAGCCCCUCCCCCUCCUCUUUUUUUUUUUUUUUGGGGCCAAACUGAAAACUUCCUGGCUCUGACCUCUCCGUGACUCGAUAAUAACUGGAUCCUUCUUCAGUGCAAAUGGCCUUAGAAGCCACGUUGGAGGAAUGCAGUCAAACACACAACACAGCAGAGGGGUCAGGAAUGAGGAAGAACUGCCGGCCAUGAAAGCCAGCUCAGAUAAGGAUAAAGGUCAAGGGUUAAGACGACUAGAGCAAGUGGAAAAUCACUUCGUGUGUCCAUGUGUGAAGCAAAACCAAAGAAGCAAGACACUAAGCGAUGGUUGCGUGUUACCCGGGAAACGGCACAGGGUAUGUUCGUCAUGUGGACAAUCCGAACGGUGACGGCCGCUGCGUAACCUGCAUAUACUACCUAAACAAAGACUGGGACAUCAAGG